GCCCAGCAGGAGGCAGAGCUGCUGCGAGAAGAAGACCCAGGAGAUCUGGGGCAGCGAGCUGUGCGUCUGACAGCGCAGGUCCAGCAGCGUGGGCCCCAGGAAGGCGAUGCACAGGCCGAAGCUGAAGAAGACGCUCCAGUAGGGUCUGGCUCUGUAACCCAGGCUUGAAUGCAGUGGCAUGAUGGGUGCAAUCUUGUUACCUGUUACUGGUCUCUUCAGGUUUUCUUUUUGGCUCAAUCUUGAGAUGGAGGCUCGUUUUGUUGCCCAGGCUGGAGUGCAGUGGCUAUUCACAGGCACAAUCAUCAUACACUGUAGCCUAGAACUCCUGGCCUCAAGCGAUUUUCCUGUCUCAGCCUACAAAGUUGCUGGAACUCUAGCUAUGAGCCUAGCAGUGAGGCCCAACUCAGUUUACAAGGCUUGCAAACCAGGUAGGUACUGCAGGGGCUGAGGAAGGGGAGUGGAGGGAGGUGGAAGGAGCAAGUCAUCUGGGCAGCUGUUUACAAUCUCUGGGAUAAUCCCUACCACAUUUCUGCAACCGAUAUCUCUCUCCUUUACCAGGCUGUGAAUUCCUUGAGGAUAGAACACUGUUUAUUUAUUUCUGAAUCUCUAGUGUUUCACAGAGUGGUCUAAGCCAAGGAGAC
rnacentral:lncRNA from 1 species